AUAGCUUCUCGGCCUUUUGGCUAAGAUCAAGUGUAGAAUCUAGGAUUGGUGAGCAGUCAUUGAGAGAUAAAAGGCACAAUCA
rnacentral:snRNA from 14 species